rnacentral:rRNA from 1 species
UACGGGGGGGCAAGCGUUGUUCGGAAUUACUGGGCGUAAAGGGCUCGUAGGCGGCCAACUAAGUCAGACGUGAAAUCCCCAGGCUUAACCUGGGAACUGCGUCUGAUACUGGAUGGCUUGAGAUUGGGAGAGGGAUGCGGAAUUCCAGGUGUAGCGGUGAAAUGCGUAGAUAUCUGGAGGAACACCGGUGGCGAAGGCGACAUCCUGGACCAACACUGACGCUGAGGAGCGAAAGCCAGGGGAGCAAACGGG